rnacentral:lncRNA from 1 species
GCCAACACAGGUCGCCAUGGUCGAGCACGAAGAUGCGGCGGCCAUGGAGGAGCAACCCCUCGUCCAAGCGCCAGGGCGCUGCCAGCUCGCCGGCGUCAAGGCGCUGGAGCAGGCCCUGCGCGUCCGCGGCCGUCGAAGUUGCCCGGCGAAUGUCGUCGAUGAAGGCGAAAGAUGGCCCGGAGCGGAUGCACAUGAUAGUGCCAGCCGUGGCGACGUCGUCCGCGAUAUCCUC